GGUUGUUGUACAUGUGUCAUACACGACCAGACAUUACAUUUGUACUUCCCGGGCAUAGAAGUGGCCAGGUCUGCCAAGGGGAUUGCGCUAUCACAGAGGAAGUAUUCUUUAGAUCUCCUAAGCGAUGUAGGGAUGCUAGGAUGUCGGGCAGCAUCAACUCCAAUUGAUCAAAACCACAAAGUGACAGCUCAGUCAGGAGAGCCAGUGAAUAAGGAGAGAUAUCAAAUAUUUGUUGGGAGGUUGUUGUACCUGUGUCAUACACGACCAGACAUUACAUUUGCAGUAAGUGUUGUGAUCAAAUACAUGCAUGAGCCUAGAAGAAAAAUCUUGAGGCAGUACAUAGAAUCUUGA
rnacentral:rRNA from 1 species